rnacentral:tRNA from 1 species
GUCGGCGUAGCUCAGUGGUAGAGCGAGGGACUCAUAAACCCUAGGUCGCAGGUUCGAUCCCUGCCGUCGACA